rnacentral:rRNA from 1 species
UACAGAGGGGGCAAGCGUUGUUCGGAAUUACUGGGCGUAAAGGGCGCGUAGGCGGCCUUCUAAGUCGGACGUGAAAUCCCCGGGCUCAACUCGGGAACUGCGUCCGAUACUGGAAGGCUUGAAUUCGGGAGAGGGAUGCGGAAUUCCAGGUGUAGCGGUGAAAUGCGUAGAUAUCUGGAGGAACACCGGUGGCGAAGGCGGCAUCCUGGACCAGCAUUGACGCUGAGGCGCGAAAGCCAGGGGAGCAAACGGG